rnacentral:rRNA from 1 species
UACGUAGGGAGCAAGCGUUGUCCGGAAUCAUUGGGCGUAAAGCGCGCGUAGGCGGCCCGAUAAGUCCGCUGUAAAAGUCAACGGCUCAGCUGUUGAAAGCCGGUGGAUACUGUCGGGCUAGAGUACGGAAGAGGCAAGUGGAAUUCCUGGUGUAGCGGUGGAAUGCGCAGAUAUCAGGAGGAACACCCAUAGCGAAGGCAGCUUGCUGGGACGUUACUGACGCUAAGGCGCGAAAGCGUGGGGAGCGAACAGG